rnacentral:rRNA from 1 species
GGUGAGAAUAGGAAGGUGGACACACCUGUAACCAUACCGAACACAGAAGUUAAGCACCCAUUCGCUGAUGGUACUUGGUUGGUAACGACCUGGGAGAGUAAGUUAUUGCCG